UACAGAGGUCUCAAGCGUUGUUCGGAUUCAUUGGGCGUAAAGGGUGCGUAGGUGGCGCCGUAAGUCGGGUGUGAAAUUUCGGAGCUUAACUCCGAAACUGCAUUCGAUACUGCGGUGCUUGAGGACUGGAGAGGAGACUGGAAUUCAUGGUGUAGCAGUGAAAUGCGUAGAUAUCGGGAGGAACACCAGUGGCGAAGGCGGGUCUCUGGGCAGUAACUGACGCUGAGGAGCGAAAGCGUGGGGAGCGAACAGG
rnacentral:rRNA from 1 species